rnacentral:tRNA from 1 species
UCCCUUGUGGCUUAGAUGGUAAAGCGUCUGCCUAAAAUGCAGAAGACCCGGGUUCGAUCCCUGGGUCAGGAA